CAGCUCUCCGAGUAGUGUGGAUGUUUAUUGGGCCUAAAGCAUCCGUAGCUUGCUAAGCAAGUCCCCUGUUAAAUCCACCGAUUCAAUCGAUGGUUUGCGGGGGAUACUGUUUGGCUAGGGGACGGGAGAGGUCGACGGUAUUUCCGGGGUAGGGGUGAAAUCCUAUAAUCCCGGGAGGACCACCAGUGGCGAAGGCUGUCGACUAGAACGCGCCCGACGGUGAGGGAUGAAAGCUGGGGGAGCGAACCGGAUUAGAUACCCGAGUAGUCC
rnacentral:rRNA from 1 species